rnacentral:rRNA from 1 species
AUUGAACGCUGGCGGCAGGCCUAACACAUGCAAGUCGAGCGGAUGAAGGGAGCUUGCUCCUGGAUUCAGCGGCGGACGGGUGAGUAAUGCCUAGGAAUCUGCCUGGUAGUGGGGGAUAACGUCCGGAAACGGGCGCUAAUACAGCAUACGUCCUGAGGGAGAAAGUGGGGGAUCUUCGGACCUCACGCUAUCAGAUGAGCCUAGGUCGGAUUAGCUAGUUGGUGGGGUAAAGGCCUACCAAGGCGACGAUCCGUAACUGGUCUGAGAGGAUGAUCAGUCACACUGGAACUGAGACACGGUCCAGACUCCUACGGGAGGCAGCAGUGGGGAAUAUUGGACAAUGGGCGAAAGCCUGAUCCAGCCAUGCCGCGUGUGUGAAGAAGGUCUUCGGAUUGUAAAGCACUUUAAGUUGGGAGGAAGGGCAGUAAGUUAAUACCUUGCUGUUUUGACGUUACCAACAGAGUAAGCACCGGCUAACUUCGUG